GGCCUUAUGGUCUAGCGGUAUGAUUCUCGCUUUGGGUUCAUUGCCAUAAAUUGCGAGAGGUCCCCGGUUCAAUCCCGGGUGAGGCCC